rnacentral:rRNA from 1 species
AACGAACGCUGGCGGCGUGGUUAAGACAUGCAAGUCGAACGGACUAUUCAAUUGAGUAAUCGAGAGAAUAGUUAGUGGCGUAAGGGUGAGUAAUGGAUAGGUAACGUACCCUGUGCUCUGGAAUAGCGUCAGUUCGCCUUCGGGCGGACAUCCGAAAGGGGCGGUAAUACCGGAUAAUAUCAUUCGUCGAUAGACGGCUGAUCAAAGAUUUAUCGGCAUAGGAGCGGCCUUUUUCUUAUCAGCUUGUUGGUGAGGUAAUAGCUCACCAAGGCUAUGACGGGUAGCGGGACUGAGAGGUUGGCCCGCCACAUCGGGACUGAGACACUGCCCGGACCUCCACGGAGGGCUGCAGUAACGAAUCUUGCGCAAUGGGCGAAAGCCUGACGCAGCGACGCCGCGUGUAGGAGGAAGUCCUUCGGGAUGUAAACUACUGUCAGGGGGAAGAAAGUUCGCUUCGGCGGAUUGAUCUAACCCACAGGAAGUCACGGCUAACUUCGUGCCAGCAGCCGCGGUAAGACGAAGGUGACAAGCGUUGUUCGGUAUUACUGGGCUUAAAGCGUGUGUAGGCGGAACGGUAAGCGUCUUGUGAAAGCCCCCGGCUUAACCGGGGAACUGCUUGACGAACUGCUGUUCUUGAGGCAAGUAGGGGUGCACGGAACUCUUGGUGGAGCGGUGAAAUGCGUAGAUAUCAAGAGGAACGCCGGUGGAGAAAUCGGUGCACUGGGCUUGUCCUGACGCUGAGACACGAAAGCGUGGGUAGCGAACGGGAUUAGAUACCCCGGUAGUCCACGCCGUAAACGAUGUCUACUAGGUUGUGGAGGUUCUGACACUCGCACGGCCGAAGCAAAAGUGCUAAGUAGACCGCCUGGGGAGUACGGCCGCAAGGCUA